rnacentral:rRNA from 1 species
UCAAGCGAACAAGGGCGCAGGGCGAAUGCCUUGGCACUGGGAGCCGAUGAAAGACGUGAUAAGCUGCGAUAAGCUUCGGGGAGCUGCAAAUAAGCAUUGAUCCGGAGAUUUCUGAAUGAGGAAACUCACCUGGGUUCAUACUCAGGUACGUUAUACUGAACUUAAAAAUAGGUAUAUCGAGGGAACCGCCUGAACUGAAACAUCUAAGUAGGGCGAGGAAGAGACAUCAAACGAGAUUCCGUAAGUAGUGGCGAGCGAACGCGGAAGAGGGCAAACCGGGAGUAGAAAUACUUCCGGGGUACGGACUGCUUUUAGGACUUAAUCUGUUAACCGAACGGCAUGGGAAGGCCGGUCAGAGAGUGUGAGAACCACGUAGGUGAAAACGGAGAGAGCUGCGCAGAUUCCAGAGUACGGCCAGACACGUGAAACCUGGUCGGAAGAUGGGGGGACCACCCUCCAACCCUAAAUACUACCCAGUGACCGAUAGCGUAUAGUACUGUGAAGGAAAGGUGAAAAGCACCCCGGGAGGGGAGUGAAAAAGAACCUGAAACCCUGUGCCUACAAGCACCUAGAGCACGUCAAUGUGUGAUAGGGUACUUUUUGUAGAACGGUCCGGCGAGCGAUUGUAUGCAGCAAGGUUAAGGACUUAAGGUCUGGAGCCGAAGCGAAAGCGAGUUUGAAAAGGGCGUUAAGUUGCAUAUAAUGGGCCCGAAACCGGGUGACCUACCCAUGGUCAGGUUGAAGUGGAAGUAAAAUUCCAUGGAGGACCGAACCGACCUCCGUUGAAAAGGCGGCGGAUGAACUGUGGGUAGCGGAGAAAUUCCAAUCGAACCCGGAGAUAGCUGGUUCUCCCCGAAAUAGUUUUAGGACUAGCCUCAAGUUAGAUACCUGGAGGUAAAGCACUGAAUAGCCUAGCGGCCGAGAGGUUAGCGAAGCUUAUCAAACUCAGAAUGCCAGAGUAUUGAUGCUUGGGAGUCAGACAGUGUCAGAUAAAUGUCAUUGUCAAAAGGGAAACAGCCCAGAUCUACAGCUAAGGUCCCAAAGUCAGGUUAAGUGGAAAACGAUGUGAAGAUACGCAGACAACCAGGAUGUUGGCUCAGAAGCAGCCACUCAUUCAAAGAGUGCGUAAUAGCUCACUGGUCGAGCGUCUUUGCGCGGAGAAUUUAACGGGGCUAAACCUGACACCGAAGCUUAGGCAAUCCAGCAAUGGAUUGGGUAGGGGAGCGUUGUAUACGCGGAGAAACAGUAGCGUAAGCGGCUGUGGAGUGUAUAGAAGUGAGAAUGCCGGAAUGAGUAGCGCGAAUGCAGUGAGAAUCUGCAUGGCCGAAAGCCUCAGGUUUUUGGAGGAAGGUUCGUCCGCUCCAAGUUAGUCGGGAGCUAAGGUGAGGCCGGAAGGCGUAGCCGAUGCACAGACGGUAGAGAUUCCGUCACCACCAAAAGAGUUAAGCACAGGGACACAUUUGAAGUCUCAGAGCCGGGUGUUGGUUCCGGUAGAGAUCGAGGGAAAUUAGUACCGAAGUCUGGGAUGGAAGAUGGCGAGAAAAGCUGUGUGUAUUUCUGAGGUGCCCGUACCGCAAACCGACACAGGUAGGUAGGAAGAAGAUUCUAAGGCCAACGGGAGAAGGGUUGUUAAGGAACUCGGCAAAUUGACCCCGUAACUUCGGGAGAAGGGGUGCUCCAGAGAUGGAGCCGCAGAGAAUCGGCCCAAGCAACUGUUUACCAAAAACACAGGUUUGUGCUAAAUCGAAAGAUGACGUAUACGAGCUGACGCCUGCCCGGUGCUGGAAGGUUAAGAGGAGAUGUGCAAGCAUUGAAUCGAAGCCCCAGUGAACGGCGGCCGUAACUAUAACGGUCCUAAGGUAGCGAAAUUCCUUGUCAGGUAAGUUCUGACCCGCA